rnacentral:rRNA from 1 species
AUUGAACGCUGGCGGCAGGCCUAACACAUGCAAGUCGAGCGGAUGAAGGGAGCUUGCUCCUGGAUUCAGCGGCGGACAGGUGAGUAAUGCCUAGGAAUCUGCCUGGUAGUGGGGGAUAACGUCCGGAAACGGGCGCUAAUACCGCAUACGUCCUGAGGGAGAAAGUGGGGGAUCUUCGGACCUCACGCUAUCAGAUGAGCCUAGGUCGGAUUAGCUAGUUGGUGGGGUAAAGGCCUACCAAGGCGACGAUCCGUAACUGGUCUGAGAGGAUGAUCAGUCACACUGGAACUGAGACACGGUCCAGACUCCUACGGGAGGCAGCAGUGGGGAAUAUUGGACAAUGGGCGAAAGCCUGAUCCAGCCAUGCCGCGUGUGUGAAGAAGGUCUUCGGAUUGUAAAGCACUCUAAGUUGGGAGGAAGUGCAGUAAGUUAAUACCUUGCUGUUUUGACGUUACCAACAGAAUAAGCACCGGCUAACUUCGUG